rnacentral:rRNA from 1 species
UGGGGAAUUUUCUGCAAUGGGCGAAAGCCUGACAGAGCAAUACCGCGUGAGGGAAGAAAGCCCACAGGGUUGUAAACCUCUUUUGUCAAGGAAGAAGUUCUGACGUUACUUGACGAAUAAGCAUCGGCUAACUCCGUGCCAGCAGCCGCGGUAAGACGGGGGAUGCAAGUGUUAUCCGGAAUCACUGGGCGUAAAGCGUUUGUAGGUGGUUUAGUAAGUCUAUUGUUAAAGCUUGAAGCUCAACUUCAAAAAUGUAAUAGAAACUACUAGACUUGAGGAUAGUAGGGGUAAAGGGAAUUUCCAGUGGAGCGGUGAAAUGCGUAGAGAUUGGAAGGACCACCGAUGGCGAAGGCACUUUACUGGGCUAUUUCUGACACUAAGAGACGAAAGCUAGGGUAGCGAAUGGGAUUAGAUACCCCCGUAGUCC